CCAACUCAAAAAAGCCAGGGCCGGCCUGACCCACGGCGACAAAAGCGGUCGUCUAGGGCUCAAAAAAUUUAUAGUUCACCUAAAAACGAAAUAUUUUUAGGGCAAAUCAUUUCAGCCUCCCCAUUCGCCUCCAUCUCUAUUCUCGUUCUCGACUCUGAACUUGCCCCAUCCUCUCUCUCUCUCUCUCCCUCUCCCUCUCUCUCCCUCUCUCUCUCCAACUGCAAACUACAAAAUCUACAAGAAUCAGAAGUUCAAAACCCAUAUAUUUCAGUUUAUCUAUCUGUCUGCAAGAAAUCAAAACCUAUUACCUAUAUCAAAACCCAUAUCGGCGUAUCAUUUCAGAUUGUUCAAAAAAUCAAAACCCAUAUCUUACAGUUUCCAUCGGCCGCUGUUCCAAUUCUAGGUCGCCGUUCGCAAGCUUCAGCCGAACUAUUUAUCAGAUCUGACACCCAACAUUUAUCAGAUCUGAGCCGUUCGCAAGCUUCAGCCGCUGGUCCGCUGUAUCUCAACUCUCAAGCUUGCCCCCUGUCUCUCUGCAACUGCUAACUUAAUUAGCAUCGGGCCUUAACAUUUAGCAAGAACAAGGUUCAAGAAACAUGCCUCCUCAGUCAUCAGGUCUCUUUUAUGAAAGAAGAGAGUCGAUAGGAAUGGGUGGAGUUGGCAAAAAAGAAAAUAGCUAAAAUUAAUGUUAAACACCAAUCCGAAGGAUCUAGUUGAGAAAGCUGAGAAAGCUGUGGGUAAAUUUAAGAACGGAAUUUAAAUACGAAUCCGAGAAUGACAUGAGCAAAUCAUUGGGAGAAUGACAUGAGCAAAUCAUGGGAGGGUGAGUGACAAAGAUUUGUAAACAAGCGUGAAAAAGUUAAGAGUAUUCCGUCGUCCGCCAGAUUUUUGUGAUUCACUUGCGUCGUCAUUUUCAUUAGAUGUCAGAAAUCCUUAUCUCCUAUCACCAAAAGACGUAAUUCUCGACUCUAAAGGGGAAAAUGCUCUAGUGGUUUAUGACCACUUUGAUGAGCACUACUCAGAGUGGACAAUGAGAGAGCACUACUCAAAAGAGGCAUUCUUCGUGAGGAACAGUUACAACAGCUUGGACUUGAACCCUUUCUGGAAAACAUCCAUAAGAAACAUCUUGGGUGCCAUCCAGGAUAUUCAUGCGAAGAAGUUUAAUAUUUCGUAAUUUGGAUAAGGCCAACGCAAAAAAUCUGAAGAAUCACCCAGUCCUCAUGACUGAUAAAGAGAGAUUCAACUAUUACAUGACAAUUGGGCACUAUAUGGAGAAACGUCUUCAAAACACCGUCCAAUUAAUUAAUAAAAAUAUCUAACAGACUCGACUGGCGUAACAUAAUAAAAGAUGAAACUCAUCCAAAUGGAAAUAAAUUUCUUGGAUAUGAGAUGAUGGGAUUUACAUUUACAAAUCAAGUCAUAGACCAGUGCGAGUACGGUGAUUCAUUGUGUCAGCUAAAUAUGUUGAUAACAAAUUUUGUGAAGCAUUUCGGAAAAUAUUUCCACAAAUCAUCGGGAGAGAACAAGAACUAUAUGGAAACUGAUGCAGCAUUGGAAAUCGGAUUCUUUUUUCCUGGUUUUUGUCAACUCAAAAAAUAUGAGGAAUGAUUCAACUAUUACAUGACAAUUGGGCACUAUAUGGAGAAACGUCCGUCCAAUUAAUUAAUAAAAAUAUCUAGCAGACUCAACCAUCGUGGCGUAACAUAAAAGAAGAUGAAACUCAUCCAAAUGGAAAUAAAUUUCUUGGAUAUGAUAUGAUGGGAUUUACAUUUACAAAUCAAGUCAUAGACCAGUGCGAGUACGGUGAUUCAUUGUCUCAGCUAAUUAUGUUGAUAACAAAAUUUGUGAAGCAUUCCGGAAAAUAUUUCCACAAAUCAUUGGGAGAGAAAGGUAUGAAUUUAAUUUUUUAAAAUUUUUAUUUAUUUUUAAUGUUUAAUUAUUUAUUACAUAUUUUUGUUUGCCUAGGACUAUAUGAAAACUGAUGCAGCAUUGGAAAUCGGAUUCUUUUUUCCUGGGUUUUUGUCAAAGCUAAAUGAGAUGUUCAUUCAGGAUUUGGGCAGCCAUGAUUUAUUAGAUUGAAUGCUUUGUAGUAUUAAAUUUUUUGUGAAUAUCCUGAAAUACUCAACUCAACUUUGCAAGAACUUGUUCUGAAAUUUGGUGUUAUUUCAAUAUAUUUUCUAUCAAGUCCUGACAAGGAAUUUCAAUUUAUUGUA